AUUUAACGCUGGCGGCAGGCCUAACACAUGCAAGUCGACCGCGUGGCGGACGUGUGUGUAAUGUCUGGGAAACUGCCUGAUGGAGGGGGAUCACUACUGGAAACGGUAGCUAAUACCGCAUACCCUCGUCUGUGCCCAGAUGGGAUUAGCUUGUUGGUGGGGUAACGGCUCACCAAGGCGACGAUCCCUAGCGGGUCUGAGAGGAUGACCAGCCACAAUGGAACUGAGACACGGUCCAGACUCCUACGGGAGGCAGGAGUGGGGAAUAUUGCACAAUGGGCGCAAGCCUGAUGCAGCCAUGCCGCGUGUAUGAAGAAGGCCUUCGGGUUGUAAAGUACUUUCAGCGGGGAGGCGUUACCCGCAGAAGAAGCACCGGCUAACUCCGUGCCAGCAGCCGCGGUAAUUC
rnacentral:rRNA from 1 species